rnacentral:misc_RNA from 1 species
UUUCCGUAGGUGAACCUGCGGAAGGAUCAUUGUCGAAACCUGCCCAGCAGAACGACCCGCGAACUUGUAUAAACAACUGGGGGCGGGGGGCGUUCUCGCCCCGUGCCCCCGAACGGCGGGGAGACACUCGUGCCUUCUUGCCGAACAACGAACCCCGCGCGGUCUGCGCCAAGGAACUUCAACUAAAGAGUGCCUCCGGUCGCCUCGGAAACGGCGUGCGUGCCGGAGGCGAAUCUUGUGCAAAACCAUAACGACUCUCGGCAACGGAUAUCUCGGCUCUC